rnacentral:rRNA from 1 species
GAUGAACGCUGGCGGCGUGCCUAAUACAUGCAAGUCGAGCGAACAGACGAGGAGCUUGCUCCUCUGACGUUAGCGGCGGACGGGUGAGUAACACGUGGAUAACCUACCUAUAAGACUGGGAUAACUUCGGGAAACCGGAGCUAAUACCGGAUAAGAUAUUGAACCGCAUGGUUCAAUAGUGAAAGACGGUUUUGCUGUCACUUAUAGAUGGAUCCGCGCCGCAUUAGCUAGUUGGUAAGGUAACGGCUUACCAAGGCAACGAUGCGUAGCCGACGUGAGAGGGUGAUAGGCCACACGGGAGGUGAGACACGGUCAAGACUCUUACGGGAGGCAGCAGUAGGGAAUCUUACGCAAUGGGCGAAAGCCUGACGGAGCAACGCCGCGUGAGUGAUGAAGGUCUUCGGAUCGUAAAACUCUGUUAUUAGGGAAGAACAAAUGUGUAAGUAAAUAUGCACGUCUUGACGGUAACUAAUCAGAAAGCAACGGCUAACUACGUG